UGGGGAAUAUUGCACAAUGGGGGAAACCCUGAUGCAGCGACGCCGCGUGAGCGAAGAAGUAUUUCGGUAUGUAAAGCUCUAUCAGCAGGGAAGAAAAUGACGGUACCUGACUAAGAAGCACCGGCUAAAUACGUGCC
rnacentral:rRNA from 1 species